rnacentral:lncRNA from 1 species
UUUAAGUUCUGCAGAAUUGAGAGCAAAACAAAUCAAUUAUGACAAUUUAAUGAAACAUAACUGGUAAAAUCUUAAAUUUCUUAUCACAGUGUUAAAAAUUAUCGUUAAGUACGCAAUGACGUCACGUCGUUUGGAAUCAGGGCACAAUAACCAAUAACCUCUUUUUUGCCCCGGGCAAUUAUGUGGUUAUUGCAUAUGCAAAACCCAACGUAUUCGUAACAAAUAUGUGAUAAAGA